GCCGUUUCCCAGAAGCCCCCGGCGCGGACUGCUUCCGGUCUGCGGGUCCCAGGAGGCGGGGCGAGGCGAAGCCCCGCGUUGCCAUGGAGAUGCGCUCCGGGCGGGGGAGGGGCGGCACGACGACAAUGACCGCUUUGAGGCUGCGCUUGGCGUCGCGCCUCUCUCCUCGGAUAGCCGGGAGUUCUGUGUUCCGCUUAAGAGGAAGAGAAAAGAAAGAGAGAAUUCUGCCAUUAAGAUCGUCUUUACGGUUUCACAAGCCCUCUCACAGGCGGUAUUCUCUCAUACGAAGCUCACAGUAACCCUCUCAAAGAAGUACUAAAAGCGAGUAUUUAUGAGGGCUUACUGCAUUGUACCAGCUACCUAUAUUGUCGUUUCACAGCAGGUGAGACGAUCCUUCAUGGGGAACUAGCACCUUUUGGCAAUUCUUGGCUUCACUGUCUACGACACAGUGAGAAGGUGGUCAUCUGCAGGCUGGGAAGAGAGCCCUCACCAGAGAACCAAAUCAGCUGGCCUCUUGAUCUUAGACUUCCCAACCGAAAUAAAUUCCUGUU